rnacentral:tRNA from 1 species
UCCUCGGUAGCUCAGUUGGUAGUAGCAACAGGCUGUUAACUUGUUUGUCGUCAGUUCGAGUCUGACCCGGGGAGCCA